rfam:TPA: Bos taurus chromosome 11, whole genome shotgun sequence.
UCCUUGGUGACUCAGUGGUAAAGAAUCUGCCUGCUAAUGCAGGAGACACGGGUUUGAUUCCUGAUCCAGGAA